UACGUAGGGGGCGAGCGUUGUCCGGAAUUACUGGGCGUAAAGGGCGUGUAGGCGGUUGGAAAAGUCCGGUGUGAAAUGCUUCAGCUCAACUGGAGCGCUGCGCUGGAAACUUUCCGACUGGAGUUCGGGAGGGGUUACUGGAAUUCCCGGUGUAACGGUGAAAUGUGUAGAUAUCGGGAGGAACACCUGUGGCGAAGGCGGGUAACUGGACCGGAACUGACGCUGAGACGCGAAAGCGUGGGGAGCAAACAGG
rnacentral:rRNA from 1 species